UACGGGGGGAGCAAGCGUUGUUCGGAUUUACUGGGCGUAAAGGGCGCGUAGGCGGCCACGACAAGUCACUUGUGAAAUCUCCGGGCUUAACUCGGAAAGGUCAAGUGAUACUGUCGGGCUAGAGUACAGAAGGGGCAACUGGAAUUCUCGGUGUAGCGGUGAAAUGCGUAGAUAUCGAGAGGAACACCUGCGGCGAAGGCGGCAUCCUGGACCAACACUGACACUGAGGAGCGAAAGCCAGGGGAGCAAACGGG
rnacentral:rRNA from 1 species